UUCCCCUCCCCCCACCCCCCCGCGCCGCCAAAAGAAGAACAACCUAGGGUUAGGGUUGUGGAGGCGGCGGCUGCUAAAUUCCAGAUCCGAUCGCCAUGCCCGGGCUGGAGGAGGAGAUGUUCGUAGCCACCAUAGUCGCGCGAGAGUCGAAGGAGGAGGCCGCCAUGGCCACCGAAGUCGCGCCAGAGCCAGAGGAGAAGACCGUCGUCUUCCCCGAUUGGGUGAUGCUGGAUCGCUUCGGCCGCACCCACAGCCAUGCCGACCUAGACGCUGCACGUGAGGCGGCCAAUAAGAAGAAGACCGCCGUUGAAGUCGUCACGGCCACCGGCCACCGCUGCUUCUUGUCCUUCGCCCUCUCGGAUCCUCCAGAGGUCUCUUACCUCGAUCUCGAGUGGCCGCGGGAAGGCUCAGUCGAACCCGUGGCCCCCUCCCGCCUGCCCGCGUAUCCCUACGUCCGGGCAACUGACGAGGACCUCGUCCUCUUCGAAAUCAACAUCCCAAGACAGCUCCACGACUUGCCGUCAGAUCUGUUCGUCUACACAGCUGGUCGUACCCCCUCGGUGGAUCAGCUCCCUCUGUACACUGAGCCCAUGGUAAGCCCGUUUCUGAUGUCAAAAUUCGACACAGGCAUCCUGCGCCUCCCGGACAACAGCUACAUCGUUUCCGACAUCAAGGUCUACCAUAAAGAGAAUGGCCCUGACAAUUAUUCCAUGUUUGUCGAGCUCUACGUCUUCAACUCCAAGACCAAAGAGUGGAAACGCUUCCCCGAGAUGCCUGCCCCCCAGCCGCAAGACGAGAGCAAUACCCAGUUCCCCAUCCUCUGGUCAACUGAGGAGGUGCUUGCUUUCGGCCACAGGUUCCUCUGCUGUGUCGACUACUUGAGCGGUGUCCUGCUAUGCGACUUCUCAAAUUUAGAGUCCCCGGUGCUCCACUUCGUGCCUUUCCCUGGAGGAGAUGGGUACUCUGAGAAGCUACAGAUCAUGCCUUUCCUUGGAGGAAAAGAGAACGCUAAGAAGGAACAGAUGGCAAAGUGCUUAGCGCAGAGAUUCCGACGUGUGUCCGUCAGCCAAGGCAUGAUGCACUUUGUCCGCAUUGAUGGCUGGCGUCCGCCUCUUGAGAGAAUCCAAGGGCAGCAGCAGCCUCUCCAAAAAAGAUCACAGUAUGGACUUUGGAUAUCGGGGAUGGUAGCAAGUUCAAGUGGAAGAUUCAUUGGGGGAUCAACCUGGAUCUUCUCUGGGCGCAAGAUGGUUUCCAUGCUCUGGACAUACCUCGCUGUCUUCCCCAGUUCCCAGUCGUCUGUGCGAACAAUCCGGACGCCCUAUGCUGCCUGUUGAGGAAAGAUGAACUUUCUCGACAGCCGUGGAUGAUCAUGGUUGACAUGAACCAGGAAGAUCUGCAGCCAUCUACUAAAUAUAUCAAUCAGCAGCCCUACAAUGUUGCGUGCGUGAAUGAGAAAAAACCCAUGGAAGCUCACCAAAUCUUCUUUUCUAAUGUGCCCCUACUUCCAACUGUCUUCUCCAAAUACCUUGUAAGGCCAACAGUGAUACCCCGGGACAACAAGCUCAAGCUCGCAGCUAGCUCUUCAGAGGAGAUUAUGCUCAUAACUGGAGAAAGCUUACGUUUGCAAUGUGAAUUCGAAGACCUGAAAACUGAUGACCCGGCUUGGAACCGUCUUCUGGUUGGUCACACAAAAGAUGGUAUUUGUCCUGAAUGUCAUGGGAAUGUCAUGGGAUGAGGAUGAUGGGAUGAGGAUGUGUACUACCUCUAUCCCAAAAUAAGUGUCUCAAGUUUAGUACUCCCUCCGUCCCAUAAUAUAGGAACGUUAUUGACAAUCUCAACUUUAGUAUAAAGUUGUACUCAGUGUCAAUAACGUUCCUAUAUUAUGGGACGGAGGGAGUACAAACUAACUAAAGUUGAGAUACUUAUUUUGGGACGGAGGGAGUAUUAAAUACCUACUGUCAGUAAGAGUAAACGAUACAUGUUCUGGAUCCUGUAAUCAUAUGUUUAAGACCCCGUAUCUCAAAAGUUUGAGAUUGAAAGCCUUCUCUUUUUAUUCUUUCUCGCAUAAUAAAUCAAGCGGGUUUUGCAGGCAA